rnacentral:rRNA from 1 species
UACGUAGGGUGCAAGCGUUGUUCGGAAUUACUGGGCGUAAAGGGCUCGUAGGCGGCCAACUAAGUCAGACGUGAAAUCCCUCAGCUUAACUGGGGAACUGCGUCUGAUACUGGAUGGCUUGGAUUUGGGAGAGGAAUGCGGAAUUCCAGGUGUAGCGGUGAAAUGCGUAGAUAUCUGGAGGAACACCGGUGGCGAAGGCGGCAUUCUGGACCAAUAUUGACGCUGAGGAGCGAAAGCCAGGGGAGCAAACGGG